AGGAUUAGAAAACUGAAGCCAGGUUCAGC
rnacentral:piRNA from 1 species